rnacentral:rRNA from 1 species
UGCGUGAAGUCGGAAUCGCUAGUAAUCGCGGAUCAGAAUGCCGCGGUGAAUACGUUCCCGGGUCUUGUACACACCGCCCGUCACACCAUGGGAGUCGGAAAUGCCCGAAGUCUGUGACCCAACCUUAGGGAGGGAGCAGCCGAAGGCAGGUCGGAUGACUGGGGUGAAGUCGUAACAAGGUAGC